rnacentral:rRNA from 1 species
AUUGAACGCUGGCGGAAUGCUUUACACAUGCAAGUCGAACGGCAGCACGGGGCAACCUGGUGGCGAGUGGCGAACGGGUGAGUAAUACAUCGGAACGUGCCCAAUCGUGGGGGAUAACGUAGCGAAAGUUACGCUAAUACCGCAUACGAUCUACGGAUGAAAGCGGGGGAUCGCAAGACCUCGCGCGAGUGGAGCGGCCGAUGUCAGAUUAGGUAGUUGGUGGGGUAAAGGCUCACCAAGCCAACGAUCUGUAGCUGGUCUGAGAGGACGACCAGCCACACUGGAACUGAGACACGGUCCAGACUCCUACGGGAGGCAGCAGUGGGGAAUUUUGGACAAUGGGCGCAAGCCUGAUCCAGCCAUUCCGCGUGCAGGAUGAAGGCCUUCGGGUUGUAAACUGCUUUUGUACGGAACGAAACGGCGAGCUCUAAUACAGUUUGCUAAUGACGGUACCGUAAGAAUAAGCACCGGCUAACUACGUGCCAGCAGCCGCGGUAAA